AGGACAUUUCCUGCCAGUCUGACAACCCACGAGGGUUUGAGCCCCUCGUAUCACUCUGCAAUAAAACCCAACGCAAAAAGUCCACUGUACGAAGGCUGUAGCAUCACAAGAACGUACAAGAGCACGAAGCACCGCACUUCACCUCAUCACUUCUCCCUGGUACUGCGCUCUGGAUUUCCAGAUCACAGCUGUUCACGUCACAACGAGCCAGCGAAGGCCCUACGCUGCAAUUUUUGCGCGGAC